AGCCCGCACUUGAUUAGUUUGUUGGGAGGGUAAUGGCCUACCAAGACUAUGAUCAAUAGCUGAUUUGAGAGGAUGAUCAGCCACAUUGGGACUGAGACACGGCCCAAACUCCUACGGGAGGCAGCAGUGGGGAAUCUUGCACAAUGGAGGAAACUCUGAUGCAGCGAUGCCGCGUGAGUGAAGAAGGCCUUUGGGUUGUAAAGCUCUUUCGUCGGGGAAGAAAAUGACUGUACCCGAAUAAGAAGGUCCGGCUAACUUCGUGCCAGCCGCCGCGGUAAUUCA
rnacentral:rRNA from 1 species